rnacentral:rRNA from 1 species
UACGAAGGGGGCUAGCGUUGCUCGGAAUCACUGGGCGUAAAGCGCACGUAGGCGGCCCGCUAAGUCGAACGUGAAAUCCCUGGGCUCAACCCAGGAACUGCGUCCGAUACUGGCGGGCUUGAAUCCGGGAGAGGGAUGCAGAAUUCCAGGUGCAGCGGUGAAAUGCGUAGAUAUCUGGAGGAAUACCGGUGGCGAAGGCGGCAUCCUGGACCGACAUUGACGCUGAGGAGCGAAAGCUAGGGGAGCAAACGGG